ACGGGUGAGUAACGCGUAAUCAACCUGCCCUUCAGAGGGGGAUAACAGUUGGAAACGACUGCUAAUACCGCAUACGAUCUAAUCUCGGCAUCGAGGAUAGAUGAAAGGUGGCCUCUACAUGUAAGCUAUCACUGAAGGAGGGGAUUGCGUCUGAUUAGCUAGUUGGAGGGGUAACGGCCCACCAAGGCGAUGAUCAGUAGCCGGUCUGAGAGGAUGAACGGCCACAUUGGGACUGAGACACGGCCCAGACUCCUACGGGAGGCAGCAGUGGGGAAUCUUCCGCAAUGGGCGCAAGCCUGACGGAGCAACGCCGCGUGAGUGAAGAAGGUCUUCGGAUCGUAAAGCUCUGUUGAUGGGGACGAACGUGCCUAAUGCGAAUAGUAUUAGGUAAUGACGGUACCCAUCGAGGAAGCCACGGCUAACUACGUGCCAGCAGCCGCGGUAAUACGUAGGUCCCGAGCGUUGUCCGGAUUUAUUGGGCGUAAAGCGAGCGCAGGCGGUUAGAUAAGUCUGAAGUUAAAGGCUGUGGCUUAACCAUAGUACGCUUUGGAAACUGUUUAACUUGAGUGCAGAAGGGGAGAGUGGAAUUCCAUGUGUAGCGGUGAAAUGCGUAGAUAUAUGGAGGAACACCGGUGGCGAAAGCGGCUCUCUGGUCUGUAACUGACGCUGACGCUCGAAAGCGUGGGGAGCAAACAGGAUUAGAUACCCU
rnacentral:rRNA from 1 species